AUUGAACGCUGGCGGCAGGCUUAACACACGCAAGUCGAGCGGAGAGAGGUAGCUUGCUACUGAUCCUAGCGGCGGACGGGUGAGUAAUGCUUAGGAAUCUGCCUAUUAGUGGGGGACAACAUUUCGAAAGGAAUGCUAAUACCGCAUACGUCCUACGGGAGAAAGCAGGGGAUCUUUGGACCUUGCGCUAAUAGAUGAGCCUAAGUCGGAUUAGCUAGUUGGUGGGGUAAAGGCCUACCAAGGCGACGAUCUGUAGCGGGUCUGAGAGGAUGAUCCGCCACACUAGGACUGAGACACGGCCCAGACUCCUACGGGAGGCAGCAGUGGGGAAUAUUGGACGAUGGGCGCAAGCCUGAUCCAGCCAUGCCGCGUGUGAAGAAGGCCUUAUGGUUGUAAAGCACUUUAAGCGAGGAGGAGGCUACUUUAGUUAAUACCUAGAGAUAGUGGACGUUACUCGCAGAGUAAGCACCGGCUAACUCUGUGCCAGCCGCCGCAGUAACAC
rnacentral:rRNA from 1 species